rnacentral:rRNA from 1 species
UACGAGGGGGCAAGCGUUGUUCGGAAUUAUUGGGCGUAAAGGGCGCGUAGGCGGUUUGACAAGUCUGAUGUGAAAUCUAUGGGCUCAACUCAUAGUCUGCAUUAGAAACUGUCGGGCUUGAGUAUGGGAGAGGUGAGUGGAAUUUCCGGUGUAGCGGUGAAAUGCGUAGAUAUCGGAAGGAACACCUGUGGCGAAAGGCGGCUCUCUGGGACGGUACUGACGCUGAGACGGCGAAAAGC